GGAGAGCUACGUUCCAUCGGGCUGCGGUCACUGCAGCAGCCGUGGUUUGUGUUUCAAGUAGCUCCGGUGCGUCAUCUGCCUACCCGCAUACCUCGGCUUCGUCUCAUCUCUUCGGUGUUAAUCUCCUGGCACAUUUUUAUCUAUCACUGUAUAUAGCCCCCUUCCUUGUAAAUAUUCCCUAUUCUUGUAUAUAAACUUGCAUCACAACUA